rnacentral:rRNA from 1 species
CUCACGCAGACUCUGGCGGCGGCCUACCAUGCAGUCGAGCGGCUGCGGGAGCUUGCUCCUUGGUCGGCUGCGGACGGGUGUGUACCCUUUCCUGUCUGCCUGGUAGUGGGGGACAACGUUUCACAAGGAACGCUCUCCCGCAUAAAUCCCACGGGAGAAAGGAUGGGCCCUUCGUGCCUUGCUCUUUCAGAGGAGCAUAGGUCAGAUUAGCUAUUUGGUGGGGUAAUGGUACACAGAAGGAACUAUCCAGAACUGGUCUGAGAGGAUGAUCCCUCACUCUGACUCUGACACACGGUCCAUACUCCUACGGGGGGGCACAGUGGAAAAUAUUGCAAAAUGGGAAAGCGCCUGAUCCAACCGUGCCGCGUGGGAGAAGAAGGCCUUCGGAUUGUAAAGCAUUUUAACUUAAGAGGAAGGGCAGUCUUUAAUACCUUGCUGUUAUUGACUUUCCCAACAAAAUAAACACCGGCUAACUCUGUCCCCGCCCCCCCGCGAUAAUA